rfam:Candidatus Atribacteria bacterium 4572_76 ex4572_76_scaffold_11988, whole genome shotgun sequence.
ACUUGUAAUUAAGAUAUACCUUAGACAGCAGGAGUUGUGAAAAACAACUUAAUUGAUAUUAAAUUAUCUUCCUGCCGAGGUGAGAACAAAGUGAAUAAACUUACUGGUUUCACCUUCCUUGUAGAUUGAUCUAAGGGAAGGUUUUUUAUUGCGUAA